GGGGGUGUAGCUCAGUGGUAGAGUGCGUGCUUCGCAUGCAUGAGGUCCUGGGUUCAGCUCCCGGCUCCUCCA